CACGUAGGGCGCGAGCGUUGUCCGGAAUUAUUGGGCGUAAAGAGCUCGUAGGCGGUUUGUCGCGUCUGCCGUGAAAGUCCGGGGCUCAACUCCGGAUCUGCGGUGGGUACGGGCAGACUAGAGUGCAGUAGGGGAGACUGGAAUUCCUGGUGUAGCGGUGAAAUGCGCAGAUAUCAGGAGGAACACCGAUGGCGAAGGCAGGUCUCUGGGCUGUAACUGACGCUGAGGAGCGGAAGCAUGGGGAGCGAACAGG
rnacentral:rRNA from 1 species